UACGAAGGGGGCUAGCGUUGCUCGGAAUUACUGGGCGUAAAGCGCACGUAGGCGGCUUUCUAAGUCGGGGGUGAAAUCCUGGAGCUCAACUCCAGAACUGCCUUCGAUACUGGAGAGCUUGAGUCCGGGAGAGGUGAGUGGAACUGCGAGUGUAGAGGUGAAAUUCGUAGAUAUUCGCAAGAACACCAGUGGCGAAGGCGGCUCACUGGCCCGGUACUGACGCUGAGGUGCGAAAGCGCGGGGAGCAAACAGG
rnacentral:rRNA from 1 species